UUGUGGUAGCCCACAAAAUAUUGGGACAUAUAAAAAAAGACAACUCUGUUACGCAGAGUAGCUGUUGACAUUAUAGUUGUGCAGGCACUUUGUUGACUCUAGAGAACCUCGGGCCAAUCGCACAUCCCCGUGACGGUGACUUUGCACUCGGAUGUCAUCCAUAUCAACUUUCGAUGCCAGUUUCUGCGCCUACCAUGGUGACCACGGGUAACGGGGAAUCAGGGUUCCAUUCCGUACAGGGACCCUGAGAAACGGCUACCACAUGCAAGGAAGGCAGCAGGCGCACAAAUGACCCACUCCCGACGCGGGAAGGUAGUGACGA